UAGGGAAUAUUGGGCAAUGGACGCAAGUCUGACCCAGCCACGCCGCGUGAAGGAUGAAGGCCCUAUGGGUUGUAAACUUCUUUUGUAUGGGAAGAAACCCCCGAACGUGUUCGGGGCUGACGGUACCAUAAGAAUAAGCAUCGGCUAACUCCGUGCCAGCAGCCGCGGUAAUACGGAGGAUGCAAGCGUUGUCCGGAUUCAUUGGGUUUAAAGGGUGCGUAGGCGGAGAAUUAAGUCAGUGGUGAAAGCUUACAGCUUAACUGUAAAAAUGCCAUUGAAACUGAUUUUCUUGAGUUCGAUUGAGGUAGAUGGAAUGUAUCAUGUAGCGGUGAAAUGCUUAGAUAUGAUACAGAACACCAAUUGCGAAGGCAGUCUACUAAGUCGACACUGACGCUGAGGCACGAAAGCAUGGGGAGCAAACA
rnacentral:rRNA from 1 species